UACAGAGGGUGCGAGCGUUAAUCGGAAUUACUGGGCGUAAAGCGUGCGUAGACGGUUAUUUAAGUCAGUGGUGAAAUCUCCGGGCUUAACCCGGAAACUGCCAUUGAUACUAUUUGUCUUGAAUACUGUGGAGGUCAGCGGAAUAUGUCAUGUAGCGGUGAAAUGCUUAGAUAUGACAUAGAACACCAAUUGCGAAGGCAGCUGGCUACACAAAUAUUGACACUGAGGCACGAAAGCGUGGGGAUCAAACAGG
rnacentral:rRNA from 1 species